GGAUUGUAGGCUGCAACUCGCCUACANGAAGUCGGAAUCGCUAGUAAUCGCGGAUCAGCAUGCCGCGGUGAAUACGUUCCCGGGCCUUGUACACACCGCCCGUCACACCAUGAGAGUUUGUAACACCCAAAGCCGGUGGGGUAACCUUUUGGAGCCAGCCGUCUAAGGUGGGACAGAUGAUUGGGGUGAAGUCGUAACAAGGUAAC
rnacentral:rRNA from 1 species